rnacentral:tRNA from 1 species
GGAAGGGUGCCGGAGUGGUCUAACGGAACGGCCUGGAGAGCCGUGCCUCCUUGUGGGGCUCGUGGGUUCAAAUCCCACCCCUUCCGC